rnacentral:rRNA from 1 species
AGUGAACGCUGGCGGUAGGCCUAACACAUGCAAGUCGAACGGCAGCACAGUAAGAGCUUGCUCUUACGGGUGGCGAGUGGCGGACGGGUGAGGAAUACAUCGGAAUCUACUUUUUCGUGGGGGAUAACGUCGGGAAACUUACGCUAAUACCGCAUACGACCUACGGGUGAAAGCAGGGGAUCUUCGGACCUUGCGCGAUUGAAUGAGCCGAUGUCGGAUUAGCUAGUUGGCGGGGUAAAGGCCCACCAAGGCGACGAUCCGUAGCUGGUCUGAGAGGAUGAUCAGCCACACUGGAACAGAGACACGGCCCAGACUCCUACGGGAAGCAGCAGUGGGGAAUAUUGGGCAAUGGGCGCAAGCCUGAUCCAGCCAUACCGCGUGGGUGAAGAAGGCCUUCGGGUUGUAAAGCCCUUUUGUUGGGAAAGAAAAGCAGCAGGUUAAUACCCCGCUGUUCUGACGGUACCCAAAGAAUAAGCACCGGCUAACUUCGUG